rnacentral:rRNA from 1 species
UACGGAGGGAGCUAGCGUUGUUCGGAAUCACUGGGCGUAAAGGGCGCGUAGGCGGCUUUGUAAGUCGGGGGGUGAAAGCCUGUGGCUCAACCACAGAAUUGCCUUCGAUACUGCAUGGCUUGAGACCGGAAGAGGUAAGUGGAACUGCGAGUGUAGUGGUGAAAUGCGUAGAGAUCCGGAGGAACACCAGUGGCGAAGGCGACACGCUGGGCCGUACCUGACACUGAUGCGCGACAGCAUGGGGAGCAAACAGG